UACGGGGGGAGCAAGCGUUGUUCGGAUUUACUGGGCGUAAAGGGCGCGUAGGCGGCCACCGCAAGUCGACUGUGAAAUCUCCGGGCUUAACCCGGAAAGGUCAGCCGAUACUGCGGGGCUAGAGUGCAGAAGGGGCAACUGGAAUUCUCGGUGUAGCGGUGAAAUGCGUAGAUAUCGAGAGGAACACCUGCGGCGAAGGCGGGUUGCUGGGCCGACACUGACGCUGAGGCGCGAAAGCUAGGGUAGCAAACGGG
rnacentral:rRNA from 1 species